rnacentral:rRNA from 1 species
CAGUAGCCACGGUAAUACGAAGGGGGCUAGCGUUGUUCGGAAUUACUGGGCGUAAAGCGCACGUAGGCGGCUUGGUAAGUUAGAGGUGAAAGCCCGGAGCUCAACUCCGGAAUUGCCUUUAAGACUGCCGAGCUAGUAGGUGAGAGAGGUAAGUGGAAUUCCGAGUGUAGAGGUGAAAUUCGUAGAUAUUCGGAAGAGCACCAGUGGCGAAGGCGGCUUACUGGCUCAUUCUAGACGCUGAGGUGCGAAAGCGUGGGGAGCAAAUGGGAUUAGAUACCCUGUAGUCCCUGUCUCUUAUACA